UACGUAGGGUGCGAGCGUUGUCCGGAAUUAUUGGGCGUAAAGGGCUCGUAGGCGGUUUGUCGCGUCGGGAGCGAAAACCCAGGGCUUAACCCUGGGCUGGCUUCCGAUACGGGCAGACUAGAGGUAUGCAGGGGAGAACGGAAUUCCUGGUGUAGCGGUGAAAUGCGCAGAUAUCAGGAGGAACACCGGUGGCGAAGGCAGGUCUCUGGGCCACUACUGACGCUGAGAAGCGAAAGCAUGGGGAGCGAACAGG
rnacentral:rRNA from 1 species